UUAUUUCAAGGUCGUGAAAAAUAAGCAAAAGGCUAACAACAUGUGGUGCCGUGUUGUUAUACUUCAGUCCGAUGGUGCUGUUGGAUUACAAAAAAAUUGUUUUUAUUCCGUCAAGUGUUUGAUGUCUGUCUGACUGGUUUCCAAUUUGUGUGUGUUCAUCAAAAAGCAAGAAGAACGUGAUAUAUUCAACCUUCAACGUCUGUCUAUGGAAAGCAUUUAUGUAUAUCAAAAGUUUAGUUUAAAUUAUGGUUUGGUGCGAAUCAUCUAAGGAUGUAAGGGUUUGUAAUAUUCUCUAACCUCCAUAUCAACAAAUAUAAUUAAGAAUUCCAAUACAUUCUAAGUUUCCAUGAUGUUAAUCAUAAGAUAAAUGCAAUGUAAUCUAAUUUCCUAUUUGUCUCAAUAAAAUUUUCAAAAUUUUCGUUUUCUUCUUGGAAAACUAAAU